AUCUUGUUGCUUCGGGGGCGACCCUGCCGGCACUUCGUCGCCGGGCGCCCCCGAAGGUCUCCAAACACUGCAUCUUUGCGUCGGAGUUUAAACAAAUCAAACAAAACUUUCAACAACGGAUCUCUUGGUUCUGGCAUCGAUGAAGAACGCAGCGAAAUGCGAUAAGUAAUGUGAAUUGCAGAAUUCAGUGAAUCAUCGAAUCUUUGAACGCACAUUGCGCCCUUUGGUAUUCCGAAGGGCAUGCCUGUUCGAGCGUCAUUUCACCACUCAAGCCUGGCUUGGUAUUGGGCGUCGCGGCUCCGCGCGCCUUAAAGUCUCCGGCUGAGCCAUUCGUCUCUAAGCGUUGUGGAUUUUCUAAUUCGCUUCGGGGGUGCGGGUGGCCGCGGCCGUUAAAUCUUUAUUCGAAGGUUGACCUCGGAUCAGGUAGGGAUACCCGCUGAACUUAAGCAUAUCCAAAAGCUGCACGCAAG
rnacentral:rRNA from 1 species